AGAGUUUGAUCCUGGCUCAGAUUGAACGCUAGCGGGAUGCUUUACACAUGCAAAUCGAACGGCAGCACGAGCUAAGCUUGCUUAGCUUGGUGGCGAGUGGCGAACGGGUGAGUAACAUAUCGGAACGUACCCAGUAAUGGGGGAUAACUAGUCGAAAGAUUAGCUAAUACCGCAUACGCCCUGAGGGGGAAAGCGGGGGACCGUAAGGCCUCGCGUUAUUGGAGCGGCCGAUAUCUGAUUAGCUAGUUGGUGGAUAAAGGCCUACCAAGGCGACGAUCUGUAGCAGGCCUGAGAGGGUGGCCAGCCACACUGGAACUGAGACACGGUCCAGACUCCUACGGGAGGCAGCAGUGGGGAAUAUUGGACAAUGGGCGCAAGCCUGAUCCAGCCAUGCCGCGUGUGUGAAGAAGGCCUUCGGGUUGUAAAGCACUUUAAGUUGGGAGGAAGGUUCGAUGGAUAAUACCCAUCGGAAUUGACGUUACCAACAGAAUAAGCACCGGCUAAUUCCGUGCCAGCAGCCGCGGUAAUACGGAAGGUGCGAGCGUUAAUCGGAAUUACUGGGCGUAAAGCGCACGUAGGUGGCUCCUUAAGUCGGAUGUGAAAGCCCUGGGCUUAACCUGGG
rnacentral:rRNA from 1 species